GGUGUCCUACGGGGCGCAGCAGUGAGGAAUAUUGGUCAAUGGGCGCGAGCCUGAACCAGCCACGUCGCGUGAGGGAAGACGGUCCUAUGGAUUGUAAACCUCUUUUGUCGGGGAGCAAAAGACGCCACGCGUGGCGUUCCGAGAGUACCCGAAGAAAAAGCAUCGGCUAACUACGUGCCAGCAGCCGCGGUAAUACGUAGGUGGCAAGCGUUGUCCGGAUUUAUUGGGCGUAAAGCGAGUGCAGGCGGCUCCAUAAGUCU
rnacentral:rRNA from 1 species